rnacentral:ncRNA from 2 species
UUCUUAUCCAGAGCGGCGGAGGGAACUGGCCCGAUGAAGCCCGGCAACCUUCAGGCGAUGCCUGAAAGGUGCCACAUCCAGCCGGACAUCCGUUUGUCCGGGAAGAUAAGAG